rnacentral:rRNA from 1 species
UACGUAGGGUGCAAGCGUUGUCCGGAAUUAUUGGGCGUAAAGAGCUCGUAGGCGGCUUGUCACGUCAACCUGUGAAACCCGGGGCUCACUCCGGGCCUGCAGUCGAUACGGGCUGGCUUGAGUGCGGUAGGGGAGACUGGAAUUCCUGGUGUAGCGGUGAAAUGCGCAGAUAUCAGGAGGAACACCGGUGGCGAAGGCGGGUCUCUGGGCCGAUACUGACGUGAGGAGCGAAAGCGUGGGGAGCGAACAGG